rnacentral:rRNA from 1 species
UACAGAGGUCUCGAGCGUUAGGCGGAAUCACUGGGCUUAAAGCGUGUGUAGGUGGAUGCCUAAGUACCUUGUGAAAUCCCACGGCUUAACCGUGGAACUGCUUGGUAUACUGGUUCUCUUGAGCGACCCAGGGGCGAGCGGAACAAACGGUGGAGCGGUGAAAUGCGUAGAUAUCGUUUGGAACGCCAAAGGUGAAAACAGCUCGCUGGGGGUCUGCUGACGCUGAGACACGAAAGCCAGGGGAGCGAACGGG